rnacentral:rRNA from 1 species
GCCUACGGGGGGCAGCAGUAGGGAAUUUUCGUCAAUGGGCGCAAGCCUGAGCGAGCAAUGCCGCGUGAACGAGGAAGGUCUUCGGAUCGUAAAGUUCUGUUGAAGGGGAAAAAGAGCGGAGAGAGGAAAUGGUCUCCGAUUGAUAUUACCCUUCGAGGAAGUCACGGCUAACUACGUGCCAGCAGCCGCGGUAAUACGUAGGUGGCGAGCGUUAUCCGGAAUGAUUGGGCGUAAAGGGUGCGUAGGCGGCCUGCUAAGUCUGGAGUGAAAGGUACCGGCUCAACCGGUACAGGCUCUGGAAACUG